CAGUAGCCGCGGGAAUACGUAGGGUGCGAGCGUUAAUCGGAAUUACUGGGCGUAAAGCGUGCGCAGGCGGUUGUGUAAGACAGGCGUGAAAUCCCCGGGCUCAACCUGGGAAUGGCGCUUGUGACUGCAAAGCUAGAGUGCGGCAGAGGGGGAUGGAAUUCCGCGUGUAGCAGUGAAAUGCGUAGAUAUGCGGAGGAACACCGAUGGCGAAGGCAAUCCCCUGGGCCUGCACUGACGCUCAUGCACGAAAGCGUGGGGAGCAAACAGGAUUAGAUACCCCGGUAGUCCCUGUCUCUUAUAC
rnacentral:rRNA from 1 species